GGAAAUGACGCAACUGACAGCGAGAGGCUCGCCUGGCUGAAGGUGGGGACUCGCGACUCUAGCCACUGAACUUCCCUGCCUAGAACCUCGAAUACUAAAACGUACACAGGGUUUCAGGGUGGUGUGCUGGCCGCUGUCUUUGAGGAAGCUGCAAUGCAACAUCGCCUGUGCUCGAGGAGCUGACAUUCUUUCCUUGGAGGCAAUGUGUUCUUGCAUGUACACGUAUAUACAGAAUACAUUUUAAAUAGUACUGGGAGUGAGAAAUAGAAGUGGAUUGGGAAAGACGGAGAAGGGAAGAAAAGAGCCACUAUACAAUGCCAAGGAGCACAAGGUCAACAAGAACCAUACCAAUCCAUGUGGAAUUGAUGAACUUCUAAGCCAAUACAAGAGGACUUUGAAUUUAUUGUGAGACUCAAGAUUGCUGCGUUUGACAUAUGUUAAGAUGGAGGACUCCCUUGUAUCCACACUCUUUGUGAAUCACUCCCAGAGAAGUACUGAAGUUUGGCUAUCAUCCUAGUUCCCCCUUUCCCUGAGAAUGAAGGAAAAAUCAUACCAGGGCAUGACACUUCCCUAUCACAUAAAAAUCUAGUCCCUAUUCUGUCUUUCAUAAUGUGGCAACUUUCUGUAGUCCUGGCUACUGAUUGGGUAAAUGCUUAAUUGUUUAAAUCAUUUUAAUUGGACCUGUUAUUCAAGGACCUGUUAUAGAUUUUUUUUCCUUUACUUGGAAUUUUUACACAUAAGACUUUGAUAGUAUAUAUUUCAUCCAAAAAUUAUUUUUUUAAUUUGGAUUUUUUUUAUUUCUCUUGCCAAUUGAUUCAUACACCUCAAAACUCAGCCAUGCAUCCUUAAGUGAUCCCUGUGUUUUUCAAUCACCCUUUUCAGGGGGUUAUGUAUAAUUAUUAUUAUUUUAAAUUGCAAAGGGUAAGUUCCUUUUGAGAGUAAUUUUAGGUUAAGAAACAUGCAACCUCUCUGAAUCCAGAAAAUGAACUGUUUGGAGAAGACACUAUUAAGAUGCCUGCACAGACCACAAGCUGCACCAGAAGUUCCAGAAUGAACUUUGGGAUGUGGUGAUUUGAACUGUGUGGGGUUUAAAUGCAUUUGUUUUGUAUGUAUACUCUUAUGCUGAAGGAGACUGCCCCCUAACUGGCUUUUUGUCAAUGUGCCUAGCGAAUUACUGGUUUUGUUCUCUUUUCCUCUUAUUCUCAAAUUAUUAUAAUUUCUUAGCUGGCAUAUUUACAAGACCUAAUAGAGACUAGUCUUCUGUGGGUCUCAGGGGGAUAUGUAUAAAUGGAGGUUUUGAACCUUUGACUUCAUUCCCCAGAAGUCCUCGGUAUUUCCCAGAAUUCCCUAUAAUCUGUCCUGCAUCUGCUUUGGCAAGAUCAUGUUAUUGGUAUUUAACUGGGAGUAACACCUCCCAAGUCCUCUCUUCUUGCAUGAUGCAGCAAGUAUGGUGGUAAGCUAAGUGCUGGGAUUUUAAAUGGGCUAAUCAGCCAUGGGCACGUGGUUUUAUUUUGAAUUCUCUUUAUUCCUUAAUUUCUAAUGAUCCUUAAUAAACCUCAUAAAAUGUAAUAUUUUAUUAUUAGAGAUAUAAAUUUAAUUUUUACACAAGGCUCCUAUUUCUUAUUUGUAUCUCUUGUUCUCUGCCUCAAUGCUUAGAGAAAAGUAGGUGUUUAAUUCAUAUUUAUUGCCAAUUAUCCCAAAGACAAUAGGGAGCCAUGCUCUUAUUUAAGUAAGGAAGUGAAGUUGACCAGACAUUCUCAGUUAUAUGGAGGCUGGAUUGGAGUGAGAGAAGAUUUAUAGCUAGAAGAAUUAGGACAUCAUUGCAAUAGCCCAGGGAGAAGUCAAAAGGACAUGAGUGAAAAUGAUGACUGUGAAUAGUGAGAAGAGGUCAGAUUGGGAAAUAUUGUAAAAGGUAUAAAUGGCAAGAUCUGACAACUGAUUGGUUGUAUUGUAAAAAUAAUAGGCAAUGAAUUGAUUAUUGAUUAUAAACUGAUUAAAUACUCUCUUGCUGUGUUUACAAA